ACUCCUACGGGAGGCAGCAGUGAGGAAUAUUGGACAAUGGGGGCAACCCUGAUCCAGCAAUGCCGCGUGAGUGAUGAAGGCCUUCGGGUUGUAAAGCUCUUUUGGCGGGGACGAUGAUGACGGUACCCGCAGAAUAAGCCCCGGCUAACUUCGUGCCAGCAGCCGCGGUAAUACGAAGGGGGCUAGCGUUGUUCGGAAUUACUGGGCGUAAAGGGCGCGUAGGCGGUGAGUUAAGUCUGUUGUGAAAUCCCCGGGCUCAACCUGGGAAUGGCAAUGGAUACUGGCUCGCUAGAGUGUGAUAGAGGAUGGUGGAAUUCCCGGUGUAGCGGUGAAAUGCGUAGAGAUCGGGAGGAACAUCAGUGGCGAAGGCGGCCAUCUGGAUCAACACUGACGCUGAGGCACGAAAGCGUGGGGAGCAAACAGGAUUAGAUACCCUGGUAGUCCACGCCCUAAACGAUGCGAACUGGAUGUUGGUCUCAACUCGGAGAUCAGUGUCGAAGCUAACGCGUUAAGUUCGCCGCCUGGGGAGUACGGUCGCAAGACUGAAACUCAAAGGAAUUGACG
rnacentral:rRNA from 1 species